rnacentral:rRNA from 1 species
CCUACGGGAGGCAGCAGUGGGGAAUUUUGCUCAAUGCUCGUAAGAGUGACGCAGCGACGUAGCGUGAAUGAUGAAGGCCUUCUGGUCGUAAAGUUCUUUUUACAGGGAAGUAAAUUCCUACAAGUAACUGUGUAUGUAUUGACGGUACCUGUAUAAGCAGCCCCGGCUAACUCCGGGCCAGCAGCUGCUGUAAUACGGAGGGGGCUGGCGUUGUUCGGAGUGACUGGGCGUAAAGAGAACUUAGGCGGUAUUGUAAGUCAUUAGUCAAAGACUGGGGCUCAACUUUAGUAAUGCGAGUGUUACUAGAAUACUAGAGUAUGAGGGAGGAAUGCAGAAUUCCUGGUGUAGCGGUGAAAUGCUUAGAUAUCAGGAGGAAUACCGUUAGCGAAGGCAGCAAUCGG